rnacentral:rRNA from 1 species
GUGGGGAAUUUUGGACAAUGGGCGCAAGCCUGAUCCAGCAAUGCCGCGUGCAGGAAGAAGGCCUUCGGGUUGUAAACUGCUUUUGUACGGAACGAAACGGUCCGGGUUAAUACCCUGGGCUAAUGACGGUACCGUAAGAAUAAGCACCGGCUAACUACGUGCCAGCAGCCGCGGUAAUACGUAGGGUGCAAGCGUUAAUCGGAAUUACUGGGCGUAAAGCGUGCGCAGGCGAUUUUGUAAGACAGGCGUGAAAUCCCCGGGCUCAACCUGGGAAUUGCGCUUGUGACUGCAAGGCUGGAGUGCGGCAGAGGGGGAUGGAAUUCCGCGUGUAGCAGUGAAAUGCGUAGAUAUGCGGAGGAACACCGAUGGCGAAGGCAGCUUCUUGGUCCAUACCUGACGCUGAAACACGAAAGCGUGGGGAGCAAACAGGAUUAGAUACCCCUGUAGUCC